AGAGUUUGAUCAUGGCUCAGAUUGAACGCUGGCGGCAGGCUUAACACAUGCAAGUCGAGCGGGGGAAGGUAGCUUGCUACCGGACCUAGCGGCGGACGGGUGAGUAAUGCUUAGGAAUCUGCCUAUUAGUGGGGGACAACAUCUCGAAAGGGAUGCUAAUACCGCAUACGUCCUACGGGAGAAAGCAGGGGAUCUUCGGACCUUGCGCUAAUAGAUGAGCCUAAGUCGGAUUAGCUAGUUGGUGGGGUAAAGGCCUACCAAGGCGACGAUCUGUAGCGGGUCUGAGAGGAUGAUCCGCCACACUGGGACUGAGACACGGCCCAGACUNNNNNNNNNNNNNNAUGGUCUAUAAUGCACAUCCAUCGGCGGUGAUGCAGAUAGAAACUUGUUGAAAAACAGUUACUUGUGAUUAGAUUGGUUGCUUUAAGUGAUGAAUUUGAUGAUGAGGUAGUUUGGAGAAUAAGUUUUAAAAAUAUCGAAAUUACCUGUUGACUUUUAAGAGAUUAAGAGUAAUAUAGCCGACCUAGCUUGCUGGUGACGAACCAGUAAGAAGAUCAUUAAGAGAAUUGAAGAACAACUUGUGUGGAUUUUUACUGAUUGAUUAAUCGAAAUAAUUUUCAUUGAUUGAUUGGUUUAAAUUACUCGAAGUUUAUUUGAGCGAAAUUUAAGUCAGUAAUUGAUGAGCCAGAAUUGGCACCUUGUCUAUAAAUAAGGUGCAAAAUGAUUUUAACUGAAGAGUUUGAUCAUGGCUCAGAUUGAACGCUGGCGGCAGGCUUAACACAUGCAAGUCGAGCGGGGGAAGGUAGCUUGCUACCGGACCUAGCGGCGGACGGGUGAGUAAUGCUUAGGAAUCUGCCUAUUAGUGGGGGACAACAUCUCGAAAGGGAUGCUAAUACCGCAUACGUCCUACGGGAGAAAGCAGGGGAUCUUCGGACCUUGCGCUAAUAGAUGAGCCUAAGUCGGAUUAGCUAGUUGGUGGGGUAAAGGCCUACCAAGGCGACGAUCUGUAGCGGGUCUGAGAGGAUGAUCCGCCACACUGGGACUGAGACACGGCCCAGACUCCUACGGGAGGCAGCAGUGGGGAAUAUUGGACAAUGGGGGGAACCCUGAUCCAGCCAUGCCGCGUGUGUGAAGAAGGCCUUAUGGUUGUAAAGCACUUUAAGCGAGGAGGAGGCUACUUUAGUUAAUACCUAGGGAUAGUGGACGUUACUCGCAGAAUAAGCACCGGCUAACUCUGUGCCAGCAGCCGCGGUAAUACAGAGGGUGCGAGCGUUAAUCGGAUUUACUGGGCGUAAAGCGUGCGUAGGCGGCUUAUUAAGUCGGAUGUGAAAUCCCCGAGCUUAACUUGGGAAUUGCAUUCGAUACUGGUGAGCUAGAGUAUGGGAGAGGAUGGUAGAAUUCCAGGUGUAGCGGUGAAAUGCGUAGAGAUCUGGAGGAAUACCGAUGGCGAAGGCAGCCAUCUGGCCUAAUACUGACGCUGAGGUACGAAAGCAUGGGGAGCAAACAGGAUUAGAUACCCUGGUAGUCCAUGCCGUAAACGAUGUCUACUAGCCGUUGGGGCCUUUGAGGCUUUAGUGGCGCAGCUAACGCGAUAAGUAGACCGCCUGGGGAGUACGGUCGCAAGACUAAAACUCAAAUGAAUUGACGGGGGCCCGCACAAGCGGUGGAGCAUGUGGUUUAAUUCGAUGCAACGCGAAGAACCUUACCUGGCCUUGACAUACUAGAAACUUUCCAGAGAUGGAUUGGUGCCUUCGGGAAUCUAGAUACAGGUGCUGCAUGGCUGUCGUCAGCUCGUGUCGUGAGAUGUUGGGUUAAGUCCCGCAACGAGCGCAACCCUUUUCCUUACUUGCCAGCAUUUCGGAUGGGAACUUUAAGGAUACUGCCAGUGACAAACUGGAGGAAGGCGGGGACGACGUCAAGUCAUCAUGGCCCUUACGGCCAGGGCUACACACGUGCUACAAUGGUCGGUACAAAGGGUUGCUACACAGCGAUGUGAUGCUAAUCUCAAAAAGCCGAUCGUAGUCCGGAUUGGAGUCUGCAACUCGACUCCAUGAAGUCGGAAUCGCUAGUAAUCGCGGAUCAGAAUGCCGCGGUGAAUACGUUCCCGGGCCUUGUACACACCGCCCGUCACACCAUGGGAGUUUGUUGCACCAGAAGUAGCUAGCCUAACUGCAAAGAGGGCGGUUACCACGGUGUGGCCGAUGACUGGGGUGAAGUCGUAACAAGGUAGCCGUAGGGGAACCUGCGGCUGGAUCACCU
rnacentral:rRNA from 1 species